rnacentral:rRNA from 1 species
GGCGUAAGCGCACGCAGGCGGUCUGUCAAGUCGGAUGUGAAAUCCCCGGGCUCAACCUGGGAACUGCAUUCGAAACUGGCAGGCUAGAGUCUUGUAGAGGGGGGUAGAAUUCCAGGUGUAGCGGUGAAAUGCGUAGAGAUCUGGAGGAAUACCGGUGGCGAAGGCGGCCCCCUGGACAAAGACUGACGCUCAGGUGCGAAAGCGUGGGGAGCAAACAGGAUUAGAUACCCUGGUAGUCCACGCCGUAAACGAUGUCGACUUGGAGGUUGUGCCCUUGAGGCGUGGCUUCCGGAGCUAACGCGUUAAGUCGACCGCCUGGGGAGUACGGCCGCAAGGUUAAAACUCAAAUGAAUUGACGGGGGCCCGCACAAGCGGUGGAGCAUGUGGUUUAAUUCGAUGCAACGCGAAGAACCUUACCUACUCUUGACAUCCAGAGAACUUACCAGAGAUGCAUUGGUGCCUUCGGGAACUCUGAGACAGGUGCUGCAUGGCUGUCGUCAGCUCGUGUUGUGAAAUGUUGGGUUAAGUCCCGCAACGAGCGCAACCCUUAUCCUUUGUUGCCAGCGGUUCAGCCGGGAACUC